rnacentral:lncRNA from 1 species
CAAGUACUGGUUGAUACAUAUAUUAAACUGCAUGCAAUUAUGACGAAAAAAUAUCGAUGAUAAUAUUUUUUUACAUUUUAAGUCUUAAAUCAAUAAACCAUUAUUUAUACAUCAAAUUUCUCCUACUUCAUUUAGGCACACUCAGAGUAUGGUCUGCUGACAGAGCAUGUAGAGACCCUGAGGUUAUCGACUGUGGUGACAACUGUUGUGCUGAAAAUUUCACACAUAAUUGUUUGUCAGUAUCAGUGUUCAGGUGUUGGAAAUACAGUUUGUAACAAUCGAAAUAUCAGUAAACCACCAAAGAAUACGAAUGGUGCAACCGAAACACUACCACAAUAAUAACAAUUUUAGCAAGUGUAGUAUUAAUUAGUAUUAAACUCUUGUUUUGUUUGAUUGAUGCCGCGAUAAUGAAAACUAAUGUUUAUUCGAUUCUUCUUGUGCAGUUACCAAGCACAUUGUAGGAAGAAAAUGUGCAUUCCUUUCACUAGAAACAGACAGUUUUGAAUUGAAAAUUGGAUUUCCACGACGUAGCGCUUAAGCAGAAUCUCAUGUAAAAUAAAAUCUAUUUGACUAAACGAGUCUUGGUAUUCAUGGCUUUGAAGCACCAAACGCGUAGAAACUGAUAGACUAGUACAUAUAGAUAAUUUACAAAAAAUAUGUAAAUUUGUUUUGUCUGUUAAAUUGGUAUGACCUCAAAUUGUGUAUAUGCUAUAGACUGGGAUAUGUAAUAGAAUAAACGGUAAAGAAUUUUGCUGCACCAUAAGGAUAUCGACAUUCAAUGUCUCUUCAGUGAUGCUCGAGGCCAAAAUAUUGAACUGUUGUAAGGUCAAAUAUUUGACUAACUCUAUAUUUCAUCAUUCCCACAGUUGCAGUCCAUCCCCACCAUCAAUUCAAGUCGAAUUAAGCGGACGCCUAACGAUACAUAAAGUUCGCUAAUUUGAUCUUUUACAAACGUUUCAAACACUGUUUUGCUCCAGUUCAGAUAGCUCUCUUUUGAUUUGAGCGACUUUAGAAAGUUUUAACAUUUAUAGUCGUCAAACCAAUAUGUUUUUUUCUGUAAAAAUGAUAAGUUUUGUGUACCAACUAAUUCGAUAAUAUUAAAUCUUGAGAUCUGUAAAUUGAGUUGUAUUUUUUUAUUCAUAUUUUAUAAAGUUGCUCUUCACUUUGUACUUGUU